GGUCUGAUGGUCUAGUGGUAGGAUUCUCGCUUUGGGUUCAGGCAUACAGUUCAGUCCUGGCGCAAACUUGCGAGAGGUCCCGGGUUCAAUCCCCGGUCAGACCC